rnacentral:rRNA from 1 species
AAAGCCUAGGAAUCUGCCUGGUAGUGGGGGAUAACGUUCGGAAACGGACGCUAAUACCGCAUACGUCCUACGGGAGAAAGCAGGGGACCUUCGGGCCUUGCGCUAUCAGAUGAGCCUAGGUCGGAUUAGCUAGUUGGUGAGGUAAUGGCUCACCAAGGCGACGAUCCGUAACUGGUCUGAGAGGAUGAUCAGUCACACUGGAACUGAGACACGGUCCAGACUCCUACGGGAGGCAGCAGUGGGGAAUAUUGGACAAUGGGCGAAAGCCUGAUCCAGCCAUGCCGCGUGUGUGAAGAAGGUCUUCGGAUUGUAAAGCACUUUAAGUUGGGAGGUAAGGGCAUUAACCUAAUACGUUAGUGUUUUGACGUUACCGACAGAAUAAGCACCGGCUAACUCUGUGCCAGCAGCCGCGGUAAUACAGAGGGUGCAAGCGUUAAUCGGAAUUACUGGGCGUAAAGCGCGCGUAGGUGGUUUGUUAAGUUGGAUGUGAAAUCCCCGGGCUCAACCUGGGAACUGCAUUCAAAACUGACUGACUAGAGUAUGGUAGAGGGUGGUGGAAUUUCCUGUGUAGCGGUGAAAUGCGUAGAUAUAGGAAGGAACACCAGUGGCGAAGGCGACCACCUGGACUAAUACUGACACUGAGGUGCGAAAGCGUGGGGAGCAAACAGGAUUAGAUACCCUGGUAGUCCACGCCGUAAACGAUGUCAACUAGCCGUUGGGAGCCUUGAGCUCUUAGUGGCGCAGCUAACGCAUUAAGUUGACCGCCUGGGGAGUACGGCCGCAAGGUUAAAACUCAAAUG